rnacentral:rRNA from 1 species
GACGAACUGCCCAAACGUUGUUCGGAAUCACUGGGCUUAAAGGGCGCGUAGGCGGCAUAUCAAGUCAGGGGUGAAAUCCGGCAGCUUAACUGUCGAAGUGCCUUUGAUACUGAUGUGCUCGAGGGAGGUAGGGGUGUGUGGAACUUCCGGUGGAGCGGUGAAAUGCGUUGAUAUCGGAAGGAACGCCGGUGGCGAAAGCGACACACUGGAUCUCAUCUGACGCUGAGGCGCGAAAGCUAGGGGAGCAAACGGGAUUAGAUACCCCGGUAGUCCUAGCCCUAAACGUUGAGUACUAGAUAGUAGACUUUCAUGGGUUUACUGUCGAAGCAAAAGUUUUAAGUACUCCGCCUGGGGAGUAUGGUCGCAAGGCUGAA